UAACAAGUCAUUCCACAAACAUUUCUUCUUGCUUAACUCACAAGACGAAUAAAUAUUAACAAAGUAGUAAAUAUUACAGGAUUUACAUUAAAGAGGAGAAAUAAUGGAACAGGCAGAGGGAAUAUUUCAUCAUCAUUGAAGGAUGCCUUUCCUUUACUGUAACUCAAACCAUCGGUGCUUGGUGCUUCUUGACGUUGCGCGACUACCUCUACCGCAAAUCAUCUCCUUUCCCUUUUGAAUCGAUCUACUAUUGGUAAUAAUGAAUAUAAAGAGAAAGGAAGAGAUAUGUUAGAGACAUGGACAUGAGUUUUCUUAUUUUAAGUUACUAAAAGUGUUUGGCUCAUGCUCAUGGAAGAUUAUAUUAUGGAUGCCAUGACAGUAGUGUUCAGGAGAUACAUUUGGCCACUGGAACUAUCAGUAAUAUACAAAGUGUUCUAAAAGAUUAAUUGGGAAAUCUAAUCCUAUUCAUAAAGUCUGUUUUACAAGAAAUCAAGCUAAUGACAAAUGCAUUAAGAAUAUUUGAAGAGCUGCAAAUACUGGUUGGGGUGAGAAGGACAAUUCAAAAUGGGAUAAAAUUUAAAACCCUUAUAAGAAGUAUAUUGAUUUAAAUAUCCAUGGUCCUGUUGCUAAGAUCCCUGGAAACCUCUAUCUUUUUAUCUAUGAAUUUGGCAUUUAGUUUUAGAAUUUAUAGGUUCAACCAAUGUAAAACAAACUUUCUGUAAUGAUUAGAUUAGAAAAACAAUUGAUUUAACCAAUUAAUCAAUGUGUUCAGUUAUCGAUUGUUGGAA